CGAAGGGGGAGCUAGCGUUGCUCGGAAUCACUGGGCGUAAAGCGCACGUAGGCGGACUCUUAAGUCGGUGGUGAAAUCCUGGAGCUCAACUCCAGAACUGCCUUCGAUACUGGGAGUCUCGAGUUCGGGAGAGGUGAGUGGAACUGCGAGUGUAGAGGUGAAAUUCGUAGAUAUUCGCAAGAACACCAGUGGCGAAGGCGGCUCACUGGCCCGAUACUGACGCUGAGGUGCGGAAAAGCGUGGGGAGCAAACAGGG
rnacentral:rRNA from 1 species